rnacentral:rRNA from 1 species
CCAAUAGCGUAUAUUAAAGUUGUUGCAGUUAAAAAGCUCGUAGUUGAAUUUCGGGAUCAAUUAAUUGGUCGUGCCUCUGGUACGUACUGAUUUUAUUGGUUUCUCCCUUCUGACGAACCAUGAUGUCAUUAAUUUGGUGUCGUGGAGAAUCAGGACUGUUACUUUGAAAAAAUUAGAGUGUUUAAAGCAAGCUAACGCUUGAAUACAUUAGCAUGGAAUAAUGAAAUAGGACGUUUGAUCCUAUUUUGUUGGUUUCUAGGAUCGACGUAAUGAUUAAUAGGGAUUGUUGGGGGCAUUAGUAUUCAAUUGUCAGAGGUGAAAUUCUUGGAUUUAUUGAAGACUAACUACUGCGAAAGCAUUUGCCAAGGAUGUUUUCAUUAAUCAAGAACGAAAGUUAGGGGAUCGAAGACGAUCAGAUACCGUCGUAGUCUUAACCAUAAACUAUGCCGACUAGGGAUCGGAUGAUGUUAAUUUUUUAAUGACUCAUUCGGCGCCUUACG